UACGUAGGGUGCAAGCGUUGUCCGGAAUUAUUGGGCGUAAAGAGCUCGUAGGCGGUUUGUUGCGUCGGCUGUGAAAUCCCGAGGCUCAACCUCGGGUCUGCAGUCGAUACGAGCAAACUAGAGUGUUGCAGGGGAGACUGGAAUUCCUGGUGUAGCGGUGAAAUGCGCAGAUAUCAGGAGGAACACCGGUGGCGAAGGCGGGUCUCUGGGCAACAACUGACGCUGGAGGAGCGAAAAGCGUGGGGGAGCGAACAGG
rnacentral:rRNA from 1 species